rnacentral:lncRNA from 1 species
AGAUAAUACCAGAAGUCUUACUCAAGCGGAAACAUGUCCCAUCUUUUUUAUUGCGCAUGCGCGAGCUAAACAAGUGUAAUGCAAUGUUGACAAUAGAAAAUUAUAUUGGGAAGUUGUCAUUCCUACAGUAAAAACAGCUUUUUUUCAAGCAGUACGAAAUGUGACUUCGAUUUAUCCGUGGAACUAUUUGAACAGAAGGUAAAGCAGUAAUUUUGUUGUACUUAGAAAGCAAACAGGGUCAUAUUUUAAAGAAAAUAGCGCACUAAAUAUAAAUUUGAGCAUCAUUAAAAUGUGUUCGCUAUGAUGCCAUUUUGUCUCGAGUAUAUACGGAGUACUGCUUUUAUACUGGUGGAUAUUCGAAUUUAUUUGGCUCAAAAACACCAUUACUUCAAUAUCCCUUUCUUGUUUUUCCUUGGAUAGGUUUUAACAAGAUAGAACUCUAGAUCACUUGGGUCCAAAAACGCUAGAUUAUAAAAUCCUGAUGUGACUUGAUACUACAAAUAGAAUAUGUCUUGUGAUGUAAUACUACAAAUAGAAUGACAAACUUCAAUGAAUUGAUAAAGUGUAAGGAUUCAAGGAUAGUGUUUAAAGUUGCUUCAUGUGUAGAAGCUGAAUUACUUUAGUUUAUACACUGUAAUGUCGAUAUCACAUGUUGAUGACUUUAAUACUAGCAACAAGUGGUCUGUCCUGCUUGUUUAUAAUACUUUAGAGUUUGGACAUUAGAACAUUGUAAUUGCCUGACAGAGAUUGUUAGGGCCUGUUUGUAUGGAAGCCGGGCUGGCCCGCUUAGCGAGACAGCCCGGUAAGGUAGGUAAGCUGGAUGAUUUCUCUUGUGUUUAUUUGAGAAAAUUUCAUCCUGCUUACCCGGGACAAUUUUGUUGUUUUGACAUUGUUUUGACAGUUGUUAAAAAUAGCUUGCAGCAGUAUCGUUGAACUUUCAUCCUGGCAACUGGGCUAGCCUGCUUGUGAUUGUUUAUAUGGAGAAAUUUCCAUCCUGGUCUCUGCAACAGGGCCUCCCGCUUGUACAUAGAAACAAGUUUAAUUAUAAUUUUUACUAUAAAAAUAAGUAGACAGCGAGAUCUCACUUACCGGGCUGUCUCACUUAGCGGGCCAGCCAGUUUCGAUAUAAACAGACCCUUAAAAGCUGCAAGUUUCCUUAAAGCAAUAUCGUCUAUAUCACAGAAUACAGUUUCUGUAGUGACAUACUUUGUGUGUUUUCUGUCUUUAAAGUGUCUUAUGUUUGUAAUAUUUUUGUACAAUACAUUUUUGAAAUUGUUGAUACUGGUCUCAUUGUAACUCAGUUAUUCCUUCUCAAGAAAAAUAAAAAAACAAAGCUGUGUGGGUGUGUUUUUGCUCUAGUUUUUACAUCUACAUGAUUCAUGUACAAUUAAUGUACAUUUAAAUUAGCUUUGUUCAAUGAAUACAGGUGUGAUUCAAAUAUCAUUCCUAUCUGGUACUUGGGUCAAAUAGACAUAAGCAUACCAAAUCAUGCUAUGAAUUGAAAUACAAGUAUAGGGUGUGUAUUGUUUAAAUAAAUAUAUUUUCCAGUUAACCCAGUAAGCUGCAUUGUGUCCCAAUGCACCCUACUUUACUAGUUUAUUUCACUUCAUCUAAUGCCAGAUGAUUUUACUUAUCGAGGGAGAGUGCUGCUGCUCAUUGAGCUCUGAUUGAGUUCACUGAGUGGCAGCACUUUCCCCUUGACGAGUGAAAUUGUCUGGUGUUAGACAGAGUAAAAUAAUCUUGUGUUCACUAAAGUAGCUACUUUUUCAAAAGCUCAACCAGGCUAAAGAUUCUUUGAUUUGAAAACCAAAGUGAUAGUGAACUAGUUAGUUGAAACAAACAGAAUUGUUCGAUUUAUUUACUUUCCACAACAUAAUUUGACAAUUAAAAUUUAAUUUGAUACUUUUCCAGUAUGCAUUCUUCAUUGACAUUAUAGAGGUUCAGAUUUGACAACCAUUACCAUUAAGGGACCAUCAAAUGUAUUUGAUAUAUUCGAUCAACCAUGAUUAUAACCAAUCAAAUGCAUACUAAGGCAGUCAGAGAUAGUGCUAGUAGAACUCAAAUCUUAACCUCUACAAUGAAAGUGCGAGUUUAUUCAUAAACUAAUUAUACGUAAAUCAACUUUCAUGCAAUCAUCUAGUUAUGCACCAGUCAAUGUAAACCCUGCCCCCAACCGGGGAGGGGCGGGAGGUUUAGUGGGGAAAGUGGUCCGUUUUGAUUAUAAAUUUGCCACGAUGAUGGGAGACUUGGACGGUGGUUAAUAUAUGUAUAUAUCCUGUGUUGCUGUUUUAGUUUUCUUGACAAGAAAAGUUUAAAUACAACAACAUAAAUGAAUUUGAUUUUCUAUUGCUGAUCUAUGAUUAUACAAAACUAUUUUCCCGCGGUUGAGAGACAUGCAGGGGACAUUGAUGUCCCUGGGGGCGGGACAAUUUUGCUCUUUUACUACCCCUCCAAGUCAAAAUCCCUGCCCCUCCCCGGUUGGGGGUUUACAUUGACUGGUGCAUUAAUUAAAGAGGUGUCAGUGCCACAUAUGUAGUAAAAGCCAACUUGUCAGUAAAGGCCACAGAGCAAGAUUGUAUUUCAAAGAUUGCCAGUGACAAGAACAAUUGAUAGGCCUGAAAUAGAGUAUGCUAACAGUUAGUAUACUGCAAAUAACUAUUCUAUCAACAAGAUAAUGACCGAUGUGUGUUUUUACAAAUGUUUUUAUAUAUCAAUCCAAUGGCAUGUAACCUAAAAUUCAGCAGUGUCUGUGUAAUGUAAUACACCCUUACUUCUCAAUGGUCAAAUUAACUAUACUACAUUGUGUAUAAUAAUAUAUGGACUGGUUCAAAAAUAUAUUGAAUUAAUAACUUAUAAGUG